GUUGUUGCAGUUAAAAAGCUCGUAGUUGGAUUUCGGAGUGGGCCAGUUGGUCCGCCGCAAGGUGUGUUACUGACUGGUUUGCUCUUCUUCGCAAAGACUGCGUGUGCUCUUUGUUGAGUGUGCGUAGGAUUUACGACGUUUACUUUGAAAAAAUUAGAGUGUUCAAAGCAGGCUAUUGCUUGAAUACAUGAGCAUGGAAUAAUGGAAUAGGACUUUGGUCCCAUUUUGUUGGUUUCUAGGACCGAAGUAAUGAUUAAGAGGGACAAUUGGGGGCAUCCGUAUUUCGUUGUCAGAGGUGAAAUUCUUGGAUUUACGAAAGACGAACAACUGCGAAAGCACUUGCCAAGAGUGU
rnacentral:rRNA from 1 species